CCUACGGGAGACUGCAGUGGGGAAUUUUGCGCAAUGCUCGUAAGAGUGACGCAGCGACGCCGCGUGAAUGACGAAGGCCUUCGGGUCGUAAAGUUCUUUCGACAGGGAAGAAAAUGCAUAUAAGUAACUGUGUAUGUAUUGACGGUACCUGUAUAAGCAGCCCCGGCUAACGCCGUGCCAGCAGCCGCGGUAAUACGGAGGGUGCGAGCGUUAAUCGGAAUUACUGAGCGGAAAGCGCUCGUAGGAGGUAUGUCAAGUCAAGGGUGAAAUCCCCGCGCUCAACGUGGGAACUGACGUUGAAACUGGCAAACUGGAGUAUGUGAGAGGAUAGUGGAAUUCCAGGUGUAGGAGUGAAAUCCGUAGAUAUCUGGAGGAACAUCAGUGGCGAAGGCGACUAUCUGGCACAUAACUGACGCUGAGGAGCGAAAGCGUGGGUAGCAAACAGGAUUAGAUACCCUAGUAGUC
rnacentral:rRNA from 1 species